UUUUCAGGAUACUAAAGCAGAGUGCAAUUCCUCUGUAGAAACUGAGGACAGAAAAGAAAGAAGCCUGUUAUAACCAUGUGAAUUGUGACUUGGUGAAAACAGUGAUUUCUGAAGCUGGUUUCAUGUUUUUGGAAUUUGAGUCAAUUUUAAAGCCUGUGGUGUUUUUCAGCGUGAGAUCUCAAUCUUCAAAGGGUAAAUCUUUUUGCUGCAGCAGCAUAUUGCUUUCUACAGCUGCCUUGACUUCUGGUGUUGGAUGGUUUGCUCCAAACUUUCUAAUUCAGUUACCUUAGAACUGACUUCUUCAAUAAUGAUGCACGAUGUACUUUCGUCUGAUGAAGUCUGCUAUUAUAAGGCCACUUAUUUUUAAAUGUAUGUCCGUAUUUGGAAAGUUGGAUCUGCGCGCUUCUAUUGUCUCUAAAGCACUGCUGAUGAGUUUUAUUUAAGGGGCAAAGUAAAUUUAAUCAUUUUUUCUCAUUUUUCUUGAACAAGUAUGCUUUAGUGUCUUUGUGGGAUAUGUGAUAUGUAGACUUUAUGGUUUAUAUCUAAACUAUACCCUGUCCAGAAAUGACUUAUGUAAUCAUAGCAGUUUUGCACAGUUCAGCUGAAAAAUCCUUGCUGUUGAUUGAGGUCAGAAAAAUCCCGGGGUUCUGCAAUUUAUCUGAGGUGCUUGAAUACUGAAAUAGGACACCCAAGGCAGUACUAAAAUAGCUAGUGUGGGAGAGGUGGUGAUGGAAUACAUGCCAUAUAACAGCUUCUAAAAGCAUUCAGGGGUUAUGUCUUAAAAUACAGUAUAAGUAUUGAAAGAAGAAUUCUGAUUUCAAAGUAUGAAAGCUGUUUUUUCUGCUAGCAGGCUAAUGUACCCAAGUGUUUGUUUGUGUUUUUCUGGAUAAUGGCAAUAUGAAUCCUGUUCAAGUUGCAACUUGUGACUUUAAAUAAAUG
rnacentral:lncRNA from 7 species